CAAGAAGUACAUAUGUUAAGGUCAGCUCCCCUUUCUUUAUCAGUUUCUUCAUUUUCUUCACUGCUUUGUUCCUCUUCCUCAGGAUUCUCAAAGGAUUAAAGCCCACCUGCCACAAAGUGAACAAUUAAUUGGAUCUGUCAGCACUUACAACUGAGCCCUGAAGACCACAGUGAGGAGCUCCAGUCCAAGACCAACAGCAAGUCCUAAGUCCAGCCCCAAGAAUAUAGCUGCCAAACAGGUCCCCACCCAAACAAUCUGGAGGAAAAUGACAGAGGGGGACAUUACACCGAGUAUAGAAAUCAGUGAUAUACCAUUGGACAGAGAGAGAAGUCAAAGACUCUUACGCAGUCAGGACGGUCUUUCUUCCACAGG